rnacentral:rRNA from 1 species
CUACGGGAGGCAGCAGUGAGGAAUAUUGGACAAUGGGCGCAAGCCUGAUCCAGCAACGCCGCGUGAACGAUGAAGCUGCUCUGCAGUGUAAAGUUCUGUAAGGAGGGACGAAGACCGGGGUAUGGCCCCGGGGGGACGGUACCUCUUAAGUAAGCACCGGCUAACUCCGUGCCAGCAGCCGCGGUAAUACGGGGGGUGCAAGCGUUGUCCGGAUUUAUUGGGCGUAAAGGGCUCGUAGGCGGGAUGGUAAGUCUGGCGUGAAAUCUCCCGGCUCAACCGGGACACUGCGCUGGAAACUGCCGUUCUUGAGUCACGGAGAGGAAGUUGGAAUUCCUGGUGUAGCGGUGGAAUGCGUAGAUAUCAGGAAGAACACCAAUAGCGAAGGCAAACUUCUGGCCGUCGACUGACGCUGAGGAGCGACAGCGUGGGGAGCGAACAGGAUUAGAUACCCCGGUAGC